CUAGUUGAAACCGUUCCCGGGCCCGUUGAGGACGUACUGUAUGUGAUCCGUGGCGCCGGAUGUGUCCUGUGAGACGAGGUUACGUGUGCCCAGAGUCUGCCCGAUAUACAAGAAUGUAAACUUAUAUACAGGGGAAAGUUUACAAAGCCAAGCAAGAAUGCCAACAUGAAAUCGAUAGAGCAAUAACCACCAUUCAAUCAUGGCGGAGUUAUACCCAUCCUAUGUACAGAAUCAUACAUUAGAAAUGAGAGAUAUUGGAUAAACCACAAAACUGGUGGCCAGGAAUAUCGAGGAGUCACGAGUUCUGUGAAGUCCGGGGAAAGCCUACUUCACUCUCCUGCGAACAUCACCAUUACCGACAAGAUUCCAUUCUGUGCCACCACCAAAACCCUGUUUCAGGAUUAAUGUUGCAAAAACAAUAUUGCUGUUGCUGUGAUAUUAGGAAUAAAACAAAAUAUUGAAACCCGUUA